rnacentral:piRNA from 1 species
GUAUGUGUCAACCUCAAUCCUAAACAAGCA